rnacentral:rRNA from 1 species
CAGCUAUCUUCCACGUGGGUAACCUACCUAUAAGACUGUGAUAACUUCGGGAAACCGGAGCUAAUACCGGAUAACAUUAGGAACCGCAUGGUUCUACAGUGAAAGAUGGUUUUGCUAUCACUUAUAGAUGGACACGCGGCGUAUUAGCUAGUUGGUAAGCUAACGGCUUACCAAGGCGACGAUACGUAGCCGACCUGAGAGGGUGAUCGGCCACACUGGAACUGAGACACGGUCGAGACUCCUACGGGAGUCAGCAGUAGGGAAUCUUCCGCAAUGGGCGAAAGCCUGACGGAGCCACGCCGCGUGAGUGAUGCAGGGUUUCGACUCGUAAAACUCUGUGAUUAGGGAAGAACACACGUGUAAGUAACUGUGCACGUCUAGACGGUACCUAAUCAGAAAGCCACGGCUAACUACGUGCCAGCAGCCGCGGUAAUACGUAGGUGGCAAGCGUUAUCCGGAAUUAUUGGGCGUAUAGCGCGCGUAGGCGGUUUCUUAAGUCUGAUGUGAAAGCCCACGGCUCCACCGUGGAGGGUCAUUGGAAACUGGGAAACUUGAGUGCAGAAGAGGAAAGUGGAAUUCCAUGUGUAGCGGUGAAAUGCGCAGAGAUAUGGAGGAACACCAGUGGCGAAGGCGACUUUCUGGUCUGUAACUGACGCUGAUGUGCAAAAGCGUGGGGAUCAAACAGGAUUAGAUACCCUGGUAGUCCACGCCGCAAACGAUGAGUGCUAAGUGUUAGGGGGUUUCCGCCCCUUAGUGCUGCAGCUAACGCAUUAAGCACUCCGCCUGGGGAGUACGACCGAAAGGUUGAAACUCAAAGGAAUUGACGGGGACCCGCACCCGCGGUGGAGCAUGUGGUUCAAUUCGAAGCAACGCGAAGAACCUUACCAAAUCUUGACAUCCUUUGAAAACUCUAGAGAUAGAGCCUUCCCCUUCGGGGGAGAUAGUGACAGGUGAUGCAUGGUUGUCGUCAGCUCGUGUCGUGAGAUGUUGGGUUAAGUCCCCCAACGAGCGCAACCCUUAAGCUUAGUUGCCAUCAUUAAGUUGGGCACUCUAGGUUGACUGCCGGUGACAAACCGGAGGAAGGUGGGGAUGACGUCACAUCAUCAUGCCGCUUAUGAUUUGGGCUCCACACGUGCUACAAUGGACAAUACCAAGGGCAGCUAAACCGCGAGGUCAUGCAAAUCCCAUAAAGUUGUUCUCAGUUCGGAUUGUAUUCUGCUACUCGACUACACUCUGCUAAGGU